rnacentral:rRNA from 1 species
UCAGUGGCGAACGGGUGAGUAACACGUGAGUAACCUGCCCCUGACUCUGGGAUAACCCCGGGAAACCGGAGCUAAUACCGGAUAUGACACGCCCUCGCAUGGGGAGCGUGUGGAAAGUUUUUCGGUCUGGGAUGGACUCGCGGCCUAUCAGCUUGUUGGUGAGGUAAUGGCUCACCAAGGCGACGACGGGUAGCCGGCCUGAGAGGGCGACCGGCCACACUGGGACUGAGACACGGCCCAGACUCCUACGGGAGGCAGCAGUGGGGAAUAUUGCACAAUGGGCGAAAGCCUGAUGCAGCGACGCCGCGUGAGGGAUGACGGCCUUCGGGUUGUAAACCUCUUUCAGCAGGGAAGAAGCGCAAGUGACGGUACCUGCAGAAGAAGCACCGGCUAACUACGUGCCAGCAGCCGCGGUAAUACGUAGGGUGCGAGCGUUGUCCGGAAUUAUUGGGCGUAAAGAGCUUGUAGGUGGUUUGUCGCGUCUGCUGUGAAAAUCCGAGGCUCAACCUCGGACUUGCAGUGGGUACGGGCAGACUAGAGUGUGGUAGGGGAGACUGGAAUUCCUGGUGUAGCGGUGGAAUGCGCAGAUAUCAGGAGGAACACCGAUGGCGAAGGCAGGUCUCUGGGCCAUUACUGACACU